rnacentral:lncRNA from 1 species
AUGGCUGCUUGUCAGGAUGUGUUUGUGUCCUGUCGUUACCCCAUCCCUAUCCCUGUCCCAUCCCCAACCUGUCCUCAUCCUGUUCCCAUCCUUUUCCUGUCCACAUCACCAUCCCAGCUCAGUUCCCAUCCUUCUCCCUCCCUGUGCCAUCCCAUGCCAUUCCCUGUCCCAGUCUGGAUCCCCAUCCUGUCUCCAUCCCCUUCCCUAUCCUUUGCCAUCCCAUCCCAGUCCCUGUCUGGUCUUUGUCCCCAUCUCUAUCCCAUCCUAAUCCCAACCCUGUCCCCACCCUGUCACGUCCUGUCUCAUUCUCUCCCCAUCCCCUUCCCUGUCCCCAUACUAAACCCUGCCCUGUUCCCAUCCGUGUCCCAUCCCGAUCCUCAUCUCUGUUACUGUUUGUUUCCAUCCCCAUCCCCAUCCCCUCCCAAUACCGUCCCCAUCCCAUCCUCUUCUAUCCUGUCCCGACGCCCCUUCCAUCCCAUCCCCAUCCCCGUAUCCGUCGGGACCCUUUUCUCGUCCCGUCCCAUGCCCAUUCCCUCCAUCCCCAUCCCCUCCUGUCCCCUCCAGUCCCGUCCCCGCAUCCCCCGGCCACCUCGACGCGGAGCGCGGGGCUUUGCUGCCCUCCAGCGUGGAAAGAGGAAACCGGAGGGCUCCGCGCAACCCCCCGGAGAAGCGGCGCUUCGAUGCUGGGUGCGGGGGCUCCGCCGGCCCGGGACGGGCUCCGUUGCGGGACACCCCCGCACAGCGCCCGGCGCCCCCAGCCCCCGCGUCCUCCCGGCCCCCGGCUCUGCCCCCAAUAAAGCCGCUGCUCUGCCGCUGCCUCUCGUUCCUCCUCUUCGUGGCCUGGGGCUGGGGGCACCUCUGGGGGGCUGGGCUGGGGGCUCUGCGCGCACCAGGACGCGAGGAGUGGGGAAGGCGCACGGGGAGCUCCAGCCCGGGGGCUCAGCGCCUGAUCCCAGCAGGCGGUGGCAGGGAUGGGGUCCGGGGUCCACUGACUGGGGAGCGGGGGCUUUCCCCCGGGGCCUGCAUGCCACGCGUGGGGACAUCAGCAAGUGCCCUGCGGGAUGGGAGACCUCCCAGCCUGGGCGUGGGCAUGGACCCCAGGCUGAUCAGGGGUGCUGUGUAUCAACACCAAGCCACAGUGACGCAGGAGCUGGUCCUGUGGGAGCAUGGGGGACAUCGGCAGAGCCUUGCUGGGUGCCCCACUGUUGGCCUUUCUGGAGCCAGGAGGGGGGCAGAGCAGGGGGGAGGCUGCACAGGGGAUGUGGGAGAGGAGCUUAG